rnacentral:rRNA from 1 species
GGUUAAGCGACUAAGCGUACACGGUGGAUGCCCUGGCAGUCAGAGGCGAUGAAGGACGUGCUAAUCUGCGAAAAGCGCCGGCGAGGUGAUAUGAACCUUUGACCCGGCGAUGUCCGAAUGGGGAAACCCAGUGCAAUCCGUUGCACUAUCGUUAACUGAAUACAUAGGUUAACGAGGCGAACCGGGGGAACUGAAACAUCUAAGUACCCCGAGGAAAAGAAAUCAACCGAGAUUCCCCCAGUAGCGGCGAGCGAACGGGGAGCAGCCCGGAGUCUGAAUCAGCUUGUGUGUUAGUGGAACGGUCUGGAAAGUCCGACGGUACAGGGUGAUAGUCCCGUACACGAAAGCACACAUGCUGUGAACUCGAAGAGUAGGGCGGGACACGUGGUAUCCUGUCUGAAUAUGGGGGGACCAUCCUCCAAGGCUAAAUACUCCUGACUGACCGAUAGUGAACCAGUACCGUGAGGGAAAGGCGAAAAGAACCCCGGCGAGGGGAGUGAAAAAGAACCUGAAACCGUGUACGUACAAGCAGUGGGAGCCUCUUUAUGGGGUGACUGCGUACCUUUUGUAUAAUGGGUCAGCGACUUAUAUUCUGUAGCAAGGUUAACCGUAUAGGGGAGCCGAAGGGAAACCGAGUCUUAACUGGGCGUUAAGUUGCAGGGUAUAGACCCGAAACCCGGUGAUCUAGCCAUGGGCAGGUUGAAGGUUGGGUAACACUAACUGGAGGACCGAACCGACUAAUGUUGAAAAAUUAGCGGAUGACCUGUGGCUGGGGGUGAAAGGCCAAUCAAACCGGGAGAUAGCUGGUUCUCCCCGAAAGCUAUUUAGGUAGCGCCUCGUGAACUCAUCUUCGGGGGUAGAGCACUGUUUCGGCUAGGGGGCCAUCCCGGCUUACCAACCCGAUGCAAACUACGAAUACCGAAGAAUGUUAUCACGGGAGACACACGGCGGGUGCUAACGUCCGUCGUGAAGAGGGAAACAACCCAGACCGCCAGCUAAGGUCCCAAAGUCAUGGUUAAGUGGGAAACGAUGUGGGAAGGCACAGACAGCCAGGAUGUUGGCUUAGAAGCAGCCAUCAUUUAAAGAAAGCGUAAUAGCUCACUGGUCGAGUCGGCCUGCGCGGAAGAUGUAACGGGGCUAAACCAUGCACCGAAGCUGCGGCAGCGACACUAUGUGUUGUUGGGUAGGGGAGCGUUCUGUAAGCCGUUGAAGGUGUGCUGUGAGGCAUGCUGGAGGUAUCAGAAGUGCGAAUGCUGACAUAAGUAACGAUAAAGCGGGUGAAAAGCCCGCUCGCCGGAAGACCAAGGGUUCCUGUCCAACGUUAAUCGGGGCAGGGUGAGUCGACCCCUAAGGCGAGGCCGAAAGGCGUAGUCGAUGGGAAACAGGUUAAUAUUCCUGUACUUGGUGUUACUGCGAAGGGGGGACGGAGAAGGCUAUGUCAGCCGGGCGACGGUUGUCCCGGUUUAAGCAUGUAGGCGGAGGUUCCAGGUAAAUCCGGUACCUUAUUAACGCUGAGGUGUGAUGACGAGGCACUACGGUGCUGAAGUGAUAAAUGCCCUGCUUCCAGGAAAAGCCUCUAAGCAUCAGGUAACACGAAAUCGUACCCCAAACCGACACAGGUGGUCAGGUAGAGAAUACCAAGGCGCUUGAGAGAACUCGGGUGAAGGAACUAGGCAAAAUGGUGCCGUAACUUCGGGAGAAGGCACGCUGAUAUGUAGGUGAAGCCCCUGCGGGCGGAGCUGAAAUCAGUCGAAGAUACCAGCUGGCUGCAACUGUUUAUUAAAAACACAGCACUGUGCAAACACGAAAGUGGACGUAUACGGUGUGACGCCUGCCCGGUGCCGGAAGGUUAAUUGAUGGGGUUAGCGGCAACGCGAAGCUCUUGAUCGAAGCCCCGGUAAACGGCGGCCGUAACUAUAACGGUCCUAAGGUAGCGAAAUUCCUUGUCGGGUAAGUUCCGACCUGCACGAAUGGCGUAAUGAUGGCCAGGCUGUCUCCACCCGAGACUCAGUGAAAUUGAACUCGCUGUGAAGAUGCAGUGUACCCGCGGCAAGACGGAAAGACCCCGUGAACCUUUACUAUAGCUUGACACUGAACACUGGUCCUUGAUGUGUAGGAUAGGUGGGAGGCUUUGAAGCGUGGACGCCAGUCUGCGUGGAGCCAACCUUGAAAUACCACCCUUUAAUGGCUGGUGUUCUAACGUAGACCCGUAAUCCGGGUUGCGGACAGUGUCUGGUGGGUAGUUUGACUGGGGCGGUCUCCUCCCAAAGAGUAACGGAGGAGCACGAAGGUUGGCUAAUCCUGGUCGGACAUCAGGAGGUUAGUGCAAUGGCAUAAGCCAGCUUGACUGCGAGCGUGACGGCGCGAGCAGGUGCGAAAGCAGGUCAUAGUGAUCCGGUGGUUCUGAAUGGAAGGGCCAUCGCUCAACGGAUAAAAGGUACUCCGGGGAUAACAGGCUGAUACCGCCCAAGAGUUCAUAUCGACGGCGGUGUUUGGCACCUCGAUGUCGGCUCAUCACAUCCUGGGGCUGAAGUAGGUCCCAAGGGUAUGGCUGUUCGCCAUUUAAAGUGGUACGCGAGCUGGGUUUAGAACGUCGUGAGACAGUUCGGUCCCUAUCUGCCGUGGGCGCUGGAGAAUUGAGGGGGGCUGCUCCUAGUACGAGAGGACCGGAGUGGACGCAUCACUGGUGUUCGGGUUGUCAUGCCAAUGGCACUGCCCGGUAGCUAAAUGCGGAAGAGAUAAGUGCUGAAAGCAUCUAAGCACGAAACUUGCCCCGAGAUGAGUUCUCCCUGAGACUUUAAGUCUCCUGAAGGAACGUUGAAGACGACGACGUUGAUAGGUCGGGUGUGUAAGCGCAGCGAUGCGUUGAGCUAACCGAUACUAAUGAACCGUGAGGCUUAACCUU